rnacentral:rRNA from 1 species
UACGAAGGGGGCUAGCGUUGCUCGGAAUCACUGGGCGUAAAGGGUGCGUAGGCGGGUCUUUAAGUCAGGGGUGAAAGCCCACGGCCCAACCGUGGAAGUGCCUCUGAUACUGACUGUCUUGAGGGAGGUAGGGGCAUGCGGAACUUCCGGUGGAGCGGUGAAAUGCGUAGAUAUCGGAAGGAACGCCGGUGGCGAAAGCGGCGUGCUGGACCUCUUCUGACGCUGAGGCGCGAAAGCCAGGGGAGCGAACGGG